ACGAAAUGAUGAUAGCAUUUCAGAGGACGAGAUAGUUGGUUAGUUUGAAGUGUUUAUGCAGAAGGUACGACCAUUAGGCGCGACAAGUUCAAGAUCUCUAUAACAAGAAGAGAAGCACCAAAUCUAUUGGUACAUCUUGAACAAUGUAGAUGAAAUUGCUGAGUACCGCAGAAACACUUGAGGCUGAUACGUCGUCAGGCAAGCAGCGCUGUCGAACUUAAUCAAAAGACAUCAACGAGCAUUUUCUGAUUGGUUUAAAGAUCAGGUCAUCAAAACACGUGAGAGGGACAACCUUUGGCAUGAUUUCUUUUCACUUGUGAUGGGACCUUCACUUGACGUUUGAUCCUCCACUUGAUGCAUCGUGGGUGGGGUACGAUUUCACACAAUAGAUCGUGAUUUUUGAUGCACAACAAAAAAUAGUGGAGUCAUGGUAGUCGGUGAAAGUAGUGCGAGUGAAAGCGACGAC